rnacentral:rRNA from 1 species
AUGAUGAGGGUUACAUAUUCGCUGGACACGGAACGGAUUGCGUAUUAUCAUAUCGAGACCAAAACCAUGCAAAUUGUGAAAUGCAAGAUGAUCCCUUUGAUUGUAUAUAUCGGAAUGUACCAAGUGGCCAUCAUGUUUUGGAGCCAGUGCCUAACUGCACAAAUUGCAAUGCAAAACGGUUCCAGUAUGAGAAUCCAACAUUUUGUUGCAUGGGUGGCAAGGUCAAGAUAG